UGAGCAGAUGGGAUAAACCUUACUAUUCCUCUUUUGGGGGAGGGGAACGGGGCAAAACAGAACAUGAUGCUUGAAGCUUACAUCAGUUGUGAUUAGUAUCUGUGUAAUCAGGGUACCUGUCUGAU